rnacentral:lncRNA from 1 species
CCCAGCCUCUGGUAGCCAUCAUUCUACUCUCUACUUCUUUUUUUGAGGAACUUCCAUUCAGUUUCCCAUAAUGGCUGUGAGUCUGGAGUUUGUUCCUGCCGGUGGGUUCGUGGUCUCGCUGACUUCAAGAAUGAAGCUGCAGACGUUCGUGAGGAGAAAGCUGAAGCACCAGAUGGUUAAAAGGACUGUUCAAGACAGCCUUGCAAUUUUGACCAAGGAAGAAAGCUGAAGAGUGCUAGGGCAAGAGAGGAACUACGUCCAGAACAAUUCAUAAUUCCAAAUUCUCACUUCCAUGAUUUCAAUGCUGAAUGUGUACUUCUCUAGCUAAAAAUACAAUUGCUUAAGUAAAAUCAUCAUUAUUU